rnacentral:rRNA from 1 species
UACGGAGGGUGCGAGCGUUGUCCGGAAUUACUGGGCGUAAAGAGCUCGUAGGUGGUUUGUCGCGUUGUUCGUGAAAACUCACAGCUCAACUGUGGGCGUGCGGGCGAUACGGGCAGACUAGAGUACUGCAGGGGAGACUGGAAUUCCUGGUGUAGCGGUGGAAUGCGCAGAUAUCAGGAGGAACACCGGUGGCGAAGGCGGGUCUCUGGGCAGUAACUGACGCUGAGGAGCGAAAGCGUGGGGAGCGAACAGG